rnacentral:rRNA from 1 species
CUUCCUACGGGACGCAGCAGUGAGGAAUAUUGGUCAAUGGCCGAGAGGCUGAACCAGCCAAGUCGCGUGAGGGAUGACGGCCCUACGGGUUGUAAACCUCUUUUGUCGGGGAGCAAGACCCGCCACGAGUGGCGGAGCGAGAGUACCCGAAGAAAAAGCAUCGGCUAACUCCGUGCCAGCAGCCGCGGUAAUACGUAGGGGACAAGCGUUAUCCGGAUUUACUGGGUGUAAAGGGGGCGCAGACGGCAAUGCAAGCCAGGAGUGAAAGCCCGGGGCCCAACCCCGGGACUGCUCUUGGAACUGCA